rnacentral:rRNA from 1 species
AUGAAAAAGUUGAAACUUGGCAUGGUAUCAUCAUUUCACCCACAUAGAUUGUUCAAAAAAGUAGAGAGGGUUACGGCAAAAACUGGAUGCACUUCGUUUACAAACUGGACAAUCUCUUUCGAAGUAUUCAGGUUUCUGACGAAAUUAAACUCAUCUGUUACAAAGGCAUUUCAUUUUUUUAAACUUAUUACAACUCCAGACUUUUUGUGCAUUCAGUAUGCAUCAUUCAAAGCGACGCCAUCAACUUUCAACCAUUUCUACCUUCAUUUGAUAUUUUUCAUGCAUUUAAUGAUUUGUUUUGAGCUAAAUGACACUAAUUAA